CCUACGGGAGGCAGCAGUAGGGAAUCUUCCACAAUGGACGCAAGUCUGAUGGAGCAACGCCGCGUGAGUGAAGAAGGGUUUCGGCUCGUAAAGCUCUGUUGGUAGUGAAGAAAGAUAGAGGUAGUAACUGGCCUUUAUUUGACGGUAAUUACUUAGAAAGUCACGGCUAACUACGUGCCAGCAGCCGCGGUAAUACGUAGGUGGCAAGCGUUGUCCGGAUUUAUUGGGCGUAAAGCGAGUGCAGGCGGUUCAAUAAGUCUGAUGUGAAAGCCUUCGGCUCAACCGGAGAAUUGCAUCAGAAACUGUUGAACUUGAGUGCAGAAGAGGAGAGUGGAACUCCAUGUGUAGCGGUGGAAUGCGUAGAUAUAUGGAAGAACACCAGUGGCGAAGGCGGCUCUCUGGUCUGCAACUGACGCUGAGGCUCGAAAGCAUGGGUAGCGAACAGGAUUAGAUACCCCAGUAGUC
rnacentral:rRNA from 1 species